rnacentral:rRNA from 1 species
AUUGAACGCUGGCGGCGUGCCUAACACAUGCAAGUCGAGCGGUAACGCGGGAGCAAUCCUGGCGACGAGCGGCGAACGGGUGAGUAAUGCUUCGGAAUCUGCCCAAUGGUGGGGAAUAACUAGCCGAAAGGUUAGCUAAUACCGCAUACGACCUACGGGUGAAAGCAGGGGAUCGCAAGACCUUGCGCCGAUGGAUGAGCCGAAGUCGGAUUAGCUAGUUGGUAGGGUAACGGCCUACCAAGGCGACAAUCCGUAGCUGGUCUGAGAGGACGACCAGCCACACUGGGACUGAGACACGGCCCAGACUCCUACGGGAGGCAGCAGUGGGGAAUAUUGGACAAUGGGGGCAACCCUGAUCCAGCGACGCCGCGUGUGUGAAGAAGGCCUGCGGGUUGUAAAGCACUUUUAGUGGGGAUGAAAAGCUCAGGGUUAACACCUCUGGGUCUUGACCUAACCCACAGAAAAAGCACCGGCUAACUCUGUGCCAGCAGCCGCAGUAACAC